rnacentral:rRNA from 1 species
AACGAACGCUGGCGGCAGGCCUAACACAUGCAAGUCGAGCGAGGACUUCGGUUCUAGCGGCGGACGGGUGAGUAACGCGUGGGAAUGUGCCCUUCUCUACGGAAUAGCCCUGGGAAACUGGGAGUAAUACCGUAUACGCCCUAUUGGGGAAAGAUUUAUCGGAGAAGGAUCAGCCCGCGUUGGAUUAGGUAGUUGGUGGGGUAAUGGCCUACCAAGCCGACGAUCCAUAGCUGGUUUGAGAGGAUGAUCAGCCACACUGGGACUGAGACACGGCCCAGACUCCUACGGGAGGCAGCAGUGGGGAAUCUUAGACAAUGGGGGCAACCCUGAUCUAGCCAUGCCGCGUGAGUGAUGAAGGCCUUAGGGUUGUAAAGCUCUUUCAGCUGGGAAGAUAAUGACGGUACCAGCAGAAGAAACCCCGGCUAACUCCGU